CCCUUAGAUGUCCUGGGCUGCACGCGCCCUACACUGAUGUGUCCAGUAAGCACCUAACCUCUUCCGAAAGGAACGGGUAACCUUUGCAAAGCACAUCGUGAUGGGGAUAGAUUAUUGCAAUUAUUAGUCUUGAACGAGGAAUUCCUAGUAAGCACAAGUCAUCAGCUUGUGUUGAUUACGUCCCUGCCCUUUGUACACACCGCCCGUCGCUCCUACCGAUUGAAUGUUCCGGUGAGCUCUUCGGACUGCGCGGUCUGCAGUUUCUGCGUUCCGUGCGGAAAGUUGCGCAAACCUUAACAUUUAGAGGAAGGAGAAGUCGUAACA
rnacentral:rRNA from 1 species